AUGUGUAAUUAAAAAUUAUUAUUUGAAAUGAAUUUUUACAUUUGUUGAAUGUCCAAGGGUAAAAAGGUCAAACUACCAUUAUCACUAUCAUUACACCAAUAAAAAAGAAAAAAAAUUCACCAAAAUCUAUAUCCACAGCCCCACCACCACCACCAUAGCCACCACAAACUCCGACUGGAAUCAACCCACUGGCAAGAUCAGAUCCAACAUCCAACCAUCCAAACCGUCAAAUCAAGACAAAAAACCCAAACUGAAAACAGAGUCAUGUAAAUCUGAGCAUCCAAAAGCAGAAAAAGAAAAAGAAGUUCUUCAGUCAUUUAAUACAUUAGAUCAACAAAUUAGAUGAAGAAGACUCAUAAAUCACAAGCUGAAAAAUCUAUUUGCGUUUUAAACAAGUAGAUUACAGACAUCCAUGGCUAUGUAUCGUGUUCUGUACUGAAAAUUUAUUCACCAGAUCUUCACUUAAAAAAAAAAUCUAAUGAUAAACAAAAAGACACUUGGGGGAUAUUUAAUGCCAGGAAAAUGGGAAAAAUGCAGGAAGAUCAAAGAGUGGAUGCACGUUGAAUUCAUCGCCAGGAUGGAAAGAGACGCCGCAGAGGGCCGCGCCACCGGUUCUGCACACCUGCGCACCGCGCCACCUGUAAUUCUCGGCGAAGUUAGGGCUCUGGUGAAGCCUCACCUCGGCGCUGCGUCGGCGUUUUGCGCGAACAGAUCACGGAAGCUUGCUAAUUUCGGUAGAUUUCAUCUGAACUAUUGAGGCAAAUGGAGACAUACACUUACUUCGAUUGAGCUAGGGUUUGUCUUGAUUGAAUGUAAUGUAAGGGUAGUGAUGAUAUGUUUAGGUUAAUAUUUGUUUUAUUUUAAUUUAUUAUCUUAAAUUGUGUUUUGACUAUUUUGCCCCAUAUUAAAUCAAAUUUAUUUAUUUUAGGAUUAAAAAA
rnacentral:lncRNA from 1 species